GCUUAGGGCCAUACCUGCCUGAGCACGCCCCAUCUUGUCUGAUUUCCGAAGCUAAGCAGGUUCGGGCCUGGUUAGUACUUGGAUGGGACACCGCCUGGGAACACCAGGUGCUGUAAGCU
ensembl:rRNA 5S_rRNA 5S ribosomal RNA